rnacentral:snRNA from 1 species
AUCGCUUCUCGGCCUUUUGGCUAAGAUCAAGUGUAGUAUCUGUUCUUAUCAGUUUAAAAUGACUCCCCAUGUGUUGUGGUUAUUUCUCAGGCAUACUGUAAAUUACCUGUAAAGUGCUACUUCCUACAGGGAUUUGUUUUUCUCUCUCUCUCUCUCAAAUACAAAGGGGUUAUAAGGCUAAAGAAUGCAGACAUGCAUCACGUCUGCAGAAAUCAUA